rnacentral:rRNA from 1 species
ACGGAGGGUGCAAGCGUUGUUCGGAAUUACUGGGCGUAAAGGGCGCGUAGGCGGUUUGAUAAGUCAGAUGUGAAAGCCCACGGCUUAACUGUGGAAGUGCAUUUGAAACUGUCAGACUUGAGUACCAGAGGGGAAAGUGGAAUUCCCGGUGUAGAGGUGUAAUUCGUAUAUAUCGGGAGGAAUACCGGUGGCGAAGGCGACUUUCUAGCUGGGUACUGACGCUGAGGCUCGAAAGCUUGGGGAGCAAACAG